rnacentral:rRNA from 1 species
GAUGAACGCUGGCGGCGUGCUUAACACAUGCAAGUCGAGCGAUGAAGUUUCCUUCGGGAAACAGAUUAGCGGCGGACGGGUGAGUAACACGUGGGUACCCUGCCUCAUAGAGUGGAAUAGCCUUUCGAAAGGAAGAUUAAUACCGCAUAAUGUUGAAAGAUGGCAUCAUCAUUUAACCAAAGGAGCAAUCCGCUAUGAGAUGGACCCGCGGCGCAUUAGCUAGUUGGUGGGGUAACGGCCUACCAAGGCGACGAUGCGUAGCCGACCUGAGAGGGUGAUCGGCCACGUUGGGACUGAGACACGGCCCAGACUCCUACGGGAGGCAGCAGUGGGGAAUAUUGCACAAUGGGGGAAACCCUGAUGCAGCAACGCCGCGUGAGUGAUGAAGGUUUUCGGAUCGUAAAGCUCUGUCUUUGGGGAAGAUAAUGACGGUACCCAAGGAGGAAGCCACGGCUAACUACGUGCCAGCAGCCGCGGUAAGAC